ACCGCUUCUCGGCCUUUGGGCUAAGAUCAAGUGUAGUAUCUGUUCUUAUCAGUCUAAUAUCUGAUACAUCCUCUAUCUGAGGAAAAUAUAUUGAAUGGAUUUUUGAAGCAGGGAGAUGGAAUAGGAGCUUGCUCCAUCCACUCCAUGCAUCUACCUGGUAUUGCAGUUUCUCCAGGAAUGGCGCACCCUCU
ensembl:snRNA U2 U2 spliceosomal RNA